CACGGUGAGGAAAAUAAAUUCUUCUCUGCUUCUGAUCACUGAGCAAUGUUCAGCCAUGUCCCAGGAAGAAGGGCCUCAAUACAGAUAGCUUAUUGUUUAGGAGGACAGAUGUUUUCAUAAUGAGAGACCCCCCUCUCCUUUCCCUUUCCCAACUUUUAUUGCUGAGUGUGACAUGAUAUGGUAUAGAGUAAUCUUUUGGUUGGUUUA